rnacentral:rRNA from 1 species
GUGACCCCAGGUUAGGCCAAAUUACCUGCUGAGUUUAAGCAUAUCAAUAAGCGGAGGAAAAUAAACUUACAAGUAUUUCCUUAGUAGCGGCGAGCGAACCGGGAAUAGCUCAGCCUUAGAAUUUGGCGGCUCCGUCGUCCGAAUUGUAGUCUGGAAAGCCGUCGUCAGCGGCGGACUGGGACCAAGUCCCCUGGAAGGGGGUGCCGGAGAGGGUGAGAGCCCCGUUAUGCCCGAACCCUGUCGCUCGUUGAGGCACUGCCUACGAGUUGGGUUGUUUGGGAAUGCAGCCCAAAUCGGGCAGUAAAUUUCAUCCAAUGCUAAAUACGGGCUAGAGACCGAUAGCGAACAAGUACCACAAGGGAAAGAUGAAAAAGACUUUGAAAAUAGAGUCAAAGAGUGCUUGAAAUUGACAGGAGGAAAGUGGAUGGGGGCCGGCGAUGCGCCCCGAGAAUGAUGUAGAACGGCGAUGAGCCGGUCUGCCGAUCGACUUGGGGCGUAGACCAGCGUCGAUUGGGGGGGGCGGCCAAAGCCCGGGCUCUCGAUANGGAAGCGGAUGGGGGCCGGCGAUGCGCCCCGGUCGGAUGUGGAACGGCGACGAGCCGGUCCGCCGAUCGACUCGGGGCGUGGACCAGCGUGGAUUGGGGGGGCGGCCAAAGCCCGGGCUCUCGAUACGCUCGUGGAACGCCGUCUCCUCGAUUGUGGCAGGCAGCGCGCGCCUCCGGCGUGCUUCGGCAUCUGCGCGCUCCGGACGCUGGCCUGUGGGCUCCCCAUUCGACCCGUCUUGAAACACGGACCAAGGAGUCUGACAUGUGUGCGAGUCAACGGGCGAGUAAACCGGUAGGACGCAAUGAAGCUGAUUGGUGGGAUCCCCCCAAGGGGUGCACCGCCGACCGACCUUGAUCUUCUGAGAAGGGUUUGAGUGUGAGCAUACCUGUCGGGACCCGAAAGAUGGUGAACUAAGCCUGAGCGGGGCGAAGCCAGAGGAAACUCAGGUAGAGGCCCGCAGCGAUACUGACAUGCAAAUAGUUCGUCUGACUUGGGUAUAGGGGCGAAAGACUAAUCGAACCAUCUAGUAGCUGGUUCCCUCUGAAGUUUCCCUCAGGAUAGUUGGAGCUCGCGUGCGAGUUCUAUCGGGUAAAGUUGAUUAUUAGAGGCCUCGGGGGCGCAACGCCCUCGACCUAUUCUCAAAUUUUAAAUAGGUAGGACGGCGCGGCUACUUGGUUGAGCCACGCCACGGAAUCAAGAGCUCCAAGUGGGUCAUUUUUUGAAAGCAGAACUGUCGAUGCAGGAUGAACCGAAAGCCAGGUUACGGUGCCAAAAUGCGCGCUAACCUAGAUCCUAAAAAGGGUGUUGGUCGAUUAAGACAGCAGGACAGUGGUCAUGGAAGUCGAAAUCCGCUAAGGAGUGUGUAACAACUCACCUGCCGAAUAAACUAGCCUCGAAAAUUGAUGGCACUUAAGCUCGUGACCUACACCCGGUCGUUGGGACAAAUUUCAGGCCCUGAUGAGUAGGAGAGCGCGGCGGUCGCUGCAAAACCUUGGGCGCGAUCCCGGGAGGAGCGGCCAUCGGUGUAGAUCUUGGUGGUAGUAGCAAAUAAUCAAAUGAGAACUUUGAAGGUCGAAGAGGGGAAAGGUUCCAUGUUAACGGCACUUGAACAUGGGUUAGUCUAUCCUAAGGGUCGAGGAAACCCCGACAAACAGCGUAUUUCGCACUUGCUCCGAAAGGGAAUCGGGUUAAAAUUCCUGAAUUGGGACGUGGCGGUCGACGACAACGUUAGGAAGUCCAGAGACUUCGGUGGGAGCCUAGGGAAGAGUUAUUUUUUCUAUUUAACAGCCUGCCCACCCUGGAAUCGGCUCAUCCCGAGGUAGGGUCCAGCGGUUGGAAGAGCACCGCACGUCGCGUGGUGUCCGGUGCGCUCCCGGCGGCCCUUGAAAAUCUGGAGGACCAAAUGUCGUCCACGCCCGGUCGUACUCAUAACCGCAUCAGGUCUCUAAGGUGAACCACCUCUGGUCAAUGGAACAAUAAGGGAAGUCUUCAAAAUAGAUCUGUAACUUAGGGAAAAGGAUUGGCUCUGAGGGCUGGGCACGGGGGUCCCAGUCCCGAGCCCGUCGGCUGUCGGUGAACUGCUCGAGAUACUCCCCGUGCGUUGAACAGCCAACUCAGAACUGGUACGGACAAGGGGAAUCCGACUGUCUAAUUAAAACAAAGUAUUGCAAUGGUCCCAAUGGAUGUUCACGCAAUGUGAUUUCUGCCCAGUGCUCUGAAUGUCAAACUGAAGAAAUUCAACCAAGCGCGGGUAAACGGCGGGAGUAACUAUGACUCUCUUAAGGUAGUCAAACGCCUUGUCAUCUAAUUAGUGACGCACAUGAAUAGAUUAAUGAGAUUCCCACGGUCCCUGUCUACUAUCCAGCGAAACCACAGCUAAGGGAACGGGCUUGGAUGAAUCAGCGAGGAAAGAAGACCCUGUUGAGCUUGACUCUAGUCCGACUUGUGAAAUGACUUGAGAGGUGUAGUAUAAGUGGGAGCCAAAAGGCGAAAGUGAUAUACCACUACUUUUAACGUUAUUUUACUUAUUCCGUGAAUCAGAAGCGGGGCACUGUCCCUCUUUUUGGACCCAGGCUCGCUCUGCGGGCCGAUCCGGCUGGAUGACAUUGUCAGGUGAGGAGUUUGGCCGGGGCUGCACAUCUGUUAAAAGAUAACGCAAGUGUCCUAAGAUGAGCUCAAGGAGAAUAGAAAUCUCGUGUGGAACAGAAGGGUAAAAGCUAGUUUUAUUCUGACUUCCAGUACGAAUAAGAACCAUGAAGGUGUGGCCUAACGAUCCUUUAGACCUUCAAAAUUCGAAGAUAGAGGUGUCAAAAAAGUUACCACAGGGAUAAAUGGCUUGUGGCAGCCAAGCGUUCAUAGCGACGUUGCUUUUCCAUCCUUCGAUGUCGGCUCUUCCUAUCAUUGUGAAGCAGAAGUCACCAAGUGUUGGAUUGUUCACCCACCAAUAGGGAACAUGAGCUAGGUUUAGACCGUCGUGAGACAGGUUAGUUUUACCCUACUGAUUUCAUUGUUGCAAUAGUAAUUCAACUUAGUACGAGAGGAACUGUUAAUUCACACAAUUGGCCAUCGCGCUUGGUUGAAAAGCCAGUGGCGCAAAGCUACCGUGUGCUGGAUUAUGACUGAAUGUCUCUAAGUCAGAAUUCGGGCUACAAGCGACGCAUGUACCCGCCGUCCGCUUGCCGACCCACAUUAGGGGCCUCGUCCCCCAAGGGCAUGUGUUGUUGGCUAAGCCGCCGCGACGGAAGGGUCGCGGUGGCCACCUUAAAGUACAAGUGAAGUACAAUUUCCAUCGAGCGCAGGCAGAAUCCUUUGCAGAUGACUUAAUACGCGACAGGGUAUUGUAAGUGGCAGAGUGGCCUUGCUGCCAAGAUCCAAUGAGAUUCAGCCCUUUGU